rnacentral:rRNA from 1 species
AGUGAACGCUGGCGGUAGGCCUAACACAUGCAAGUCGAACGGCAGCACAGUAAGAGCUUGCUCGUACGGGUGGCGAGUGGCGGACGGGUGAGGAAUACAUCGGAAUCUACUUUUUCGUGGGGGAUAACGUAGGGAAACUUACGCUAAUACCGCAUACGACCUACGGGUGAAAGCAGGGGAUCUUCGGACCUUGCGCGAUUGAAUGAGCCGAUGUCGGAUUAGCUAGUUGGCGGGGUAAAGGCCCACCAAGGCGACGAUCCGUAGCUGGUCUGAGAGGAUGAUCAGCCACACUGGAACUGAGACACGGUCCAGACUCCUACGGGAGGCAGCAGUGGGGAAUAUUGGACAAUGGGCGCAAGCCUGAUCCAGCCAUACCGCGUGGGUGAAGAAGGCCUUCGGGCUGUAAAGCACUUUUGUUGGGAAAGAAAAGCAGCAGGUUAAUACCCCGCUGUUCUGACGGUACCCAAAGAAUAAGCACCGGCUAACUUCGUG